CCAACAUUAUCAUAGUUCAGCCCUCUCUGCUUUGCUUGGGUACGCCCUCAAAGACGAGGGUGGGGAGCGCCGAGUCAGAAGAGAGCUAAAAUGGCGGAGGUUGGGAGUCCCUGCUUUGACUCUGUUUGCAAACUCUUGUUUCAUUGUUUAAGCGAUUAAAUCUCUCGAGUAGACGCUGUCUCUUUAGAUGCGAGGGCAAAAUAGCACUUUAUGGACUUACACAGAGGACAUCAUGUUUAAUACGGUUCCGGAAAAAUCCAGUCAGAAGUUGUUCACGGAGUUUUCACAAUAACUGCUUCUCAUGAACCGAAGCUGGACGUCUCCUUCUGAAAGUUGGAUUACUGUGCACUUCUGGAUCACAGGCUAUUCGCAGCUGGACACAUCCUUCUACACUGUAUGCAAACAUGCAACAUCAUUACACACAGUACAAGGAGUCAGACUGGCAUAUGAGGAGCAAAGGAACCCAGACAGUAGCAUCGUUUCACAAUGUUUCCAUCACCAUCAUCAGUGGAUGCCUUUGCCGUCCGUAGCCUGAGAUUUCAGAUUUGCAGCAAAAAAAAUUGAUUUUCUCAUUUAUUGGAAUGCUAUGCAGGUAUUUGUACCUUGCAGCCAUCCAUUACAAUGUCACCAAGCCGUAACAAAAGCAGGAGAGGGAAAGUACAAGGCUAUGUUCCCAAAACACACAAAUGACAUACCUUAUGUGGAUGGUGUGAUCAGGCUUGUGUUUGCUGAGGUAUUUGAAGAUAAGCUGAAGGAAACCCCGAUUCCAAUGGACCUGGCAUCACAGUUUGAGAGACCUUCAAAGGAGGACGUGAUUGCAUGCCAUCUUCAGUG